CGGUCUUGCUGCGGAGACUCUGUCCAAACGGUAUCCCCUCCGUCCCAGGUAGCUGCCCCUGCCCUCGUUCUUCAGAAGGUUCAUCUGAAACUUGUGUUUCCUUUUGCCUUGCUCUUGCUUCUUUUGAAAUCCUUUCUUCUUCUUCUUCUCUGUCCUUUCCUUCUUCUUGGUUCUGGCAUUAUGGCCAGGACUUCUCCUCGGGA
rnacentral:lncRNA from 1 species